rnacentral:rRNA from 1 species
GUCUACGGCCAUGUCACCCUGAACAAGCCUGAUCCCAUCUGAUCCUGGAAGCUAAGCAGGGUCGGGCCUGGUUAGUACUUGCAUGUCAUACUGUUUUGGGGUUUUUAAAUCUGUUUAUU